UACGUAGGUGGCAAGCGUUGUCCGGAUUUACUGGGCGUAAAGAGCGCGCAGGCGGUCGUUCAAGUCGCGUGUGAAAGCCCCCGGCUCAACUGGGGAGGGUCACGCGAUACUGAUCGACUCGAAGGCAGGAGAGGGUAGUGGAAUUCCCGGUGUAGUGGUGAAAUGCGUAGAGAUCGGGCGGAACACCCGUGGCGAAGGCGGCCGGCUGGGCCGGGCCCGACGCUGAGGCGCGAAGGCGUGGGGAGCGAACAGG
rnacentral:rRNA from 1 species